rnacentral:rRNA from 1 species
UACAGAGGGGGCAAGCGUUGUUCGGAAUUACUGGGCGUAAAGGGCGCGUAGGCGGCCGCCUAAGUCAGACGUGAAAUCCCUCGGCUCAACCGGGGAACUGCGUCUGAUACUGGGUGGCUUGAAUCCGGGAGAGGGAUGCGGAAUUCCAGGUGUAGCGGUGAAAUGCGUAGAUAUCUGGAAGAACACCAAAGGCGAAAGCACUUUGCUGGGCCGAAACUGACACUGAUAGACGAAAGCUAGGGGAGCGAAUGGG